rnacentral:rRNA from 1 species
CAGCCGCCGCGGGAAUACGAAGGGUGCAAGCGUUACUCGGAAUUACUGGGCGUAAAGCGUGCGUAGGUGGUGGUUUAAGUCCGUUGUGAAAGCCCUGGGCUCAACCUGGGAAUGGCAGUGGAUACUGGCUCGCUAGAGUGUGUCAGAGGAUGGUGGAAUUCCCGGUGUAGCGGUGAAAUGCGUAGAGAUCGGGAGGAACAUCAGUGGCGAAGGCGACUAUCUGGGCCAACACUGACGCUGAGGCACGAAAGCGUGGGGAGCAAACAGGAUUAGAUACCCCAGUAGUCCCUGUCUCUUAUAC